GGGAGAGCUGCCAAAGUUGGAAGCUGAAAAAAGCCAGUCCUGGGCGUUUGAGCAUGCCCAGCUCCGGCAGCCACGCACGGGUGUUCAAAAUAACAUUUUAAUGGAUUGAGGAAAUGUGAGACAAUAUUCAGAGUAUAUUUUAAAAUGACAAGAGCAAUAAAACACACCUACACAGAUACAUCUGCUCUGCACCAUAACUUACCUCCUCUGGGGCAGCAUGUAAGCUUCCACGCCAAAUUUUGACCAAUUUAACAUCGCCGGAAAUGUUGAUUGAUUAGAAGAUGGGCUGGGAGCAAAAAGUAAAAUAUCUUCUUUGAUGUAGUAAAAAUUAGAAAAUUG